CUUUUUUUUUCUUAACCAAACGGUAGUGCAAUCGUAGCGACAUCACCAAACGCUCACGUAAUAUUUUCGCCCCACCCCCCUUUUCGUCUUUUUCCGUCAUAUUUAGCUCAGAUAUAUAACUACCCCCCCCAACUAUUUUGCUUCAGACCCCCCCCGUCGACGAAGAGGAGGAUCCUCAGACCCCCCCGUCUCCCAGCCGAAGAGGAGGAUCCUCAGACCUCCCCCGUCGACGAAGAGGAGGAUCCUCAGACCCCCCCGUCUGAGCUAAUAUGUUGCUCAGCCGAAGAGGAGGAUCCUCAGACCCUUGCUCAGACGAAGAGGAGGAUCCUCAGACCCCCCCGUCUGAGCAAAUAUGUUGCUCAGCCGAAGAGGAGGAUCCUCAGACCCCCCCGUCUCCCAGACGAAGAGGAGGAUCCUCAGACCCCCCGUCUGAGCAAAUAUGUUGCUCAGCCGAAGAGGAGGAUCCUCAGACCCCCCCGUCUGAGCUAAUAUGAUGCUCAGCCGAAGAGGAGGAUCCUCAGACCCCCUCGUCUCCGCAAGCUAUUGUGCUCAGACGAAGAGGAGGAUCCUCAGACCCCCCCGUCUGAGCAAAUAUGUUGCUCAGACGAAGAGGAGGAUCCUCAGACCCCCCCGUCUCCCAGCCGAAGAGGAUGCACUCUAGGUGUCGUCUCUCUCAUCUCACAACACAGAAGAGGAC
rnacentral:lncRNA from 1 species